AAUCCUGUCCCAACCUGUGCCUUCCCAAGAAGGAUAUUAGUGAUCUGCUUUAGUGUACUCUAGUAGAUAGUUUAGAAAGAAGAAAAACACAGAAACCAUAGCCAUUUGGCUCAGCUGAGCAGAGAAGACACAAACUGCUUGUGUGUCUUUAUAGGGUCUCCUAAUCCCUCCUUUCUAUCCCUUGUGAAUUUUAGAUUAACUCCACCCUGCUUAGUCUAAGAAACAGAAAUAUCUACACCCCUACUUAAGGAUUAAGUGUUGAGAAGGAUGGCCUAUGACAGACAUGUGCUAGCAAAUGACAAAUCAGAAACAUCUGACAGACCCCCUGGGCUGUCUUAAGUCAAGUUUAAGCUACCAUUGUUACAUGUGAGAUGCAGGAAGUGAUGUAAAAAAAUGGUCUAUAUAUUUCGCGUCACUUUCUCUCUCCGGGCUCUUUUUGCAGAGAGCUGACUCUGGCUCUCUUUCGCAGCAGAGAUGUGACUUGUGGCAGUGGGCUGGGCAUCUUGGUGUCUUAGCAUGGGUCAGAUGAAGAAACUGAGGCAAACAAGGACAAGUGAUUUACCAGGAUCACAUAGCUCUUGUGUAAGGCCAGAUUUUAACUCAGGUCUUCCUGACAUCAGUCCUGGCACUCAAUCCACUGGACACCCCACUGUCUUACCCUUCAAGACCCAGGUCAAAUGAAGUAUUGGAAUUGUUGAAAGAGCACAGUCCUGGGAGACCUGGGUUUUCAUACUGGUUCUGACACUAGCCAACCAUGACACCUGGACCAAGUUAUGUCACCUCUCUGAGUCUCAAUUCUUACCUACAAAAUAGUUGAAUUAGAUGACCACUAAGGUCCCUCCUAGUUAGAACAUUCUGUGAUGUAGGAAUUCAGUAGGCUAAGCAUCAGUGACUUCAAAAAGAAAAUCACCAAUUAACCAGAUCAAGUUCAAAUCCACUUUGGAACAAGCUGACUACUUGAAAUCCAGUCCCAGACUCCUCACACUGCUAUUCUCUUGAGUAAAGAAUGCAAAUCACUUAAUUUGGGCCUCAGUCUUAUCUGCUUUCUCCCUUGGAAAAUGCUGACUUCAAGGUUCAGCUCAACUGCCACUUCCUCCAUGAAGCUUCCACUGAUCCUCUGAUCUUCCACACAACUCCCCAGUAACUAAUACCAUCCCCCU
rnacentral:lncRNA from 1 species